GUGAGGAAUAUUGGUCAAUGGGCGAGAGCCUGAACCAGCCAAGUCGCGUGAAGGAUGAAGGUUUUAUGAAUUGUAAACUUCUUUUGCAGGGGAAUAAAGUACGGUACGUGUACCGUUUUGUAUGUACUCUGCGAAUAAGGAUCGGCUAACUCCGUGCCAGCAGCCGCGGUAAUACGGAGGAUCCAAGCGUUAUCCGGAUUUAUUGGGUUUAAAGGGUGCGUAGGUGGAUUGAUAAGUCAGCGGUGAAAGUUUGCAGCUUAACUGUAAAAUUGCCGUUGAAACUGUCGGUCUUGAGUGCAAAUGAGGUAGGCGGAAUGUGUUGUGUAGCGGUGAAAUGCUUAGAUAUACGGAGGAACACCAGUGGCGAAGGCGGAUUACUGGACGAUAACUGACGCUGAGGCGCGAAAGCGUGGGGAGCAAACAGGAUUAGAAACCCCAGUAGUCC
rnacentral:rRNA from 1 species